rnacentral:lncRNA from 1 species
CGUUUUUUGACUUCACGCGGGAGGCCUGGGUCUGACAAACUUGCUCUUGAAAACCAAGGUCAGAAAUACAUAGAAUUGAAGUCGAGAAAAUGCUUUUGUUAUAAGCACCCCCAAGGAUGUGGUGUUCCUGUCACCUGUGCUUGGCACCCUUCCUCAUCCAAGUGCCACCACCUCAGAGGCUUUCCAAGGCUGUGUCCUUCUGCCUGCAGCAAAUGAGCACCCCGACUCUUAGGUUUUGGAAAUUGUUCUGGACUGAACUGUGUCCCUCCAAAAUUCACAUGUUGAAAUACCUCAGAAAGUGACUGUAUUUGGAGACGUGGCCUUUAAAGAGGUAAUUAAGGUAAAAUGAGUUCAUAUGGGUGGAUCCUGAUCCAAUGGGGUGAAUUUAUCAGAAGAGAUUAGGUCACAGACAGGCGUAGAGGGAGAGCACGUGAAGACAGAGGGAGGAGGUGGUCGGCUGUGAGCCAAGGAGAGAGGCCUCAGCCGCCCCGUCUGUGCGUCUUGUCAUGGGGGCCUGAGCUGGCGAAGAGCAAACUCUCCCCGUGCACAGGGUGCCUUGUGAGUCAAGUCCUUCUCUCCCCAGAGGCU